UAAAUCUUGUCUCAAAUAAAAUAGCACCUGUAAAUCUUGUGCCAGCAGCAGCGGUAACGCAAGUGGUGUAAGCAUUUUAUAGCUUUUUUAGGUGAAAAUGGUG
rnacentral:rRNA from 1 species